rnacentral:rRNA from 1 species
UACGUAGGGGGCAAGCGUUGUCCGGAAUCAUUGGGCGUAAAGAGCGUGUAGGCGGUUCAGUAAGUCUGCUGUGAAAGUCCAGGGCUCAACCCUGGGAUGCCGGUGGAUACUGCUGGGCUAGAGUACGGAAGAGGCGAGUGGAAUUCCCGGUGUAGCGGUGAAAUGCGUAGAUAUCGUGAGGAACACCAGAGGCGAAGGCGGCUACCUGGACAAUUGCUGACGCUGAGGCUCGAAAGCGUGGGGAGCAAACAGG